rnacentral:lncRNA from 1 species
CGUCCCACAAGACACAGAAGAAGAUGUUCCCUCUCCUUGUGUUUUGUUAAAAAAAGAAAACAGCUGGGGGAUCUUCCCUGCUUAUGCUUGGCUGAGCAUGGCCAUUCCCAGGAGCCUCUGGAGCUGCGUCUCGGAGGACAGACGGCGGUGAUUAAGAAUGAAACCAUUCUGCCAGGGCUGAGAAAGAAAGGUAGAAAAGACGCCCUCCUGGGACCUGCAACUUGUAGUUACCCUGGGAAAAAAGUAGUGCAAGAUUGUUAGUCUGAGGGACAGAUGAAAAUGUGAUUGCUUUAGACUGAGGCUGAGGAGAGAAAGCCACCUCUGUCUGGAAGAACCACGGAGCCUGUUUGCCUCUACCUUGCCCUCUCUGUUUAAAUACCUGAUCCUCAUAAGGAACCACAUUUU